UNUUAUGGUAUCUGCAAUGCUGGCAUAUGGU
rnacentral:piRNA from 1 species